GCUUGUUGGAAAUGCAGAAUCUCUAAUCCCAUGUUUGACCAGCUGAAUCUGCAUUUGCUAAUUUCCCCCAGGUGAUUCUAAGCACAUUAAAAUCCGGAUGACACUUAUCUGAAUCAUUUCGCAACUUGGAGAGAGAUGGAGAAGAGCUGCAUGGUGUAACUGGGCGUCACCAGAAUGUGCACUGCCAUCUGUGGCUGUCUUCCUGCUGGCAAAUCCUUUUCAUUCCAAGCAAAUAAGAUUCCCUAAAUUAGACAAAAAGGAAAAAACACAACAGAGUCCAUAAUUCUGAGAGGUAAAUCACGGCAAUUGCCUGGCAUUCUCUGACCUUUAAAUAAACCUUAACUCAGGGCUGGGGGUUACUUUUUCUACCUUGUAACUACUGUUCUAAAAAUAUUCCUA
rnacentral:lncRNA from 1 species